rnacentral:lncRNA from 1 species
UAAAUCCUUAUUAUUCUAAACUGUCAUUUCUCAAACUUUAUCUUGCAUAGGAAUCAUCUGGAAGAUGUGUUAAAACAAAAAACCAGACUGCACAGUCCCACCACCAGAUUGAGUCAGACCUGAGAAUCUGCAUUUUUAACAAGGUCCAGAUCAUGCUGCCACUGACAAGGGAUCACACUUUGUGAACCACCGACCUCACCUAGUUAUGGACCAAGAUUAACAUUCAUGAAGCAAACGGAAGAGGAAUCAAGUGCAUCUAAGCAUAUAUCUGAAUUGGAAACUGAAUUAAAAUAAGAGAGAGAGAAGAAAGAUGAAAGGCAUGGAAGGGAAAGGAGGAAGAAACAAGGAAGAGGAAGAGAAAUAAGAUUUCAGAUUGCAGUUAAAGUAAUGGAACCCUGUGGCUGCCAGUUGGUGCACCAGCUUUCUGAAUCUCAAUUUCUGGUAUUGGCCAAGUGAAGUCUGAUGGCAUACUGCUGUAAGGACUAAAGCAUAAACACAAAGAAAAGAAACGCCUCUGACCCAGCCUCCCAUACUGAAGCCAUGACUGUAAGUAAGACUUCAGACAAGACACCCCAAUAACUCAAUAGAUUCAUUGUUAUUAUUCUUAGUCUGCAUCUGGAGCCACAGAGGUUUAGAGGCAUUAAACAAACAUUUCAAGGUCACAGAGCUGAUAGCUGUCAAAACCAAAACUUAAA